AUGUCGCCAAGCUGCUGCACCACCGCACUGAAGUCGCCCCAGAAGAGAAGUGGCCGGAGGAGGAGUCGCCAACGUCCUGCCGCAUACCUCCUGGGGCACAGGUACCGCAGAUCCCUUGGCUGCUGGUCCACUGGCCACUGGUCACUGGACACUAAACACUGGACUCUGGACUCUCUGUGCUCCCAAUCCAUGUCAAUUACCUUGCGAAAGUCGUCGCUGCGGAUAUGAAGCAAUAAUAAAACCAUAAAAACGAA